rnacentral:rRNA from 1 species
CGCUGGCGGCGUGCUUAACACAUGCAAGUCGAACGAUGAAGCUGCCUGCUUGCAGGUGGUGGAUUAGUGGCGAACGGGUGAGUAUCACGUGAGUAACCUGCCCUUGACUCUGGGAUAAGCCCGGGAAACUGGGUCUAAUACCGGAUAUGACCUCUCAUCGCAUGGUGGGGGGUGGAAAGUUUUUAACGGUCUUGGAUGGGCUCGCGGCCUAUCAGCUUGACGGUGGGGUAGUGGCCUACCGUGGCUUUGACGGGUAGCCGGCCUGAGAGGGUGACCGGCCACACUGGGACUGAGACACGGCCCAGACUCCUACGGGAGGCAGCAGUGGGGAAUAUUGCACAAUGGGCGCAAGCCUGAUGCAGCGACGCCGCGUGCGGGAUGACGGCCUUCGGGUUGUAAACCGCUUUCAGUACAGAAGAAGCCCUUUUUGGGUGACGGUAUGUGCAGAAGAAGCGCCGGCUAACUACGUGCCAGCAGCCGCGGUAAUACGUAGGGCGCGAGCGUUAUCCGGAAUUAUUGGGCGUAAAGAGCUUGUAGGCGGUUUGCCGCGUCUGCUGUGAAAGCCCGGGGCUUAACUCCGGGUGUGCAGUGGGUACGGGCAGGCUAGAGUGCAGUAGGGGAGACUGGAAUUCCUGGUGUAGCGGUGAAAUGCGCAGAUAUCAGGAGGAACACCGAUGGCGAAGGCAGGUCUCUGGGCUGUUACUGACGCUGAGAAGCGAAAGCAUGGGUAGCGAACAGGAUUAGAUACCCUGGUAGUCCAUGCCGUAAACGUUGGGCACUAGGUGUGGGGGACAUUCCACGUUUUCCACGCCGUAGCUAACGCAUUAAGUGCCCCGCCUGGGGAGUACGGCCCCAAGGCUAAAACUCAAAUGAAUUGACGG